UGUUUGGAUGGUGACCAACACUAGCCUUACCAAAAAAUUGGUCACGCCCACGAUAUUUGGCUAGCGUUUGGUCUGGUACCAUUUUUGGCUCGCCAUCGUCGACUUGGGCGCGCCCGCGUACCGUUUUCGCCAACUCGCGGGCGAAACAGCGGCGCGGAAAUCAGCCGCCAAAAUAUUGGCUGCCAAAUCUGGCGCGAGCCAGCCACCGUGAUAUAAAAGGCACGAUUGAUUUUUCCCCACCUGUUCGCCACUUUCCCCAUCUCUCUUCUUAUCUCCACGCACAGAAGCGCUCUCGAUCCAAUCACCGGGCGGCCGCGUUCUGCGUUGGUGCCAGCUUCUCCGGCGGCCGGCGACCGGCGACGCUGCUCCACCUCUCGCCCUCCUCUCCCAGUCAAGCUACGCUCCAAGAUGGACAUGGAUCAACAAAGAUAUUAUUAUUACAACAUGUUGAAGCGGAGAACUCUCUGUGUUAUUGUUCUACUCUUGGCCCUCUGGUAUAGAAGCAGAGAUGGUAGAAAAUUUAGAGGUAAAGGCAGGAAGUAUGGUCCAUUAGUUCAGAGAGACAUCUACAGAACUAAUGUACUAAUUAGGCUCUUUGACACAUCGGAUGCAACAUGCAUCAAGCAAUUAAGGAUGACUUGAGCUGUAUUUUACAAGCUAUGUAACAGGCUUAGGCAGAAGGAGUUGUUAAGUGACACAUUUCAUGUUUCGGUAGAGGAACAAGUUGCAAUGUUCCUAUACAUGGUCGGUCAGCAUCACACAAAUUCAUCUGUUGGAUUUUGGUUCUGGCGAUCUAGUGAAACAGUGAGCAGAUAUUUCAAUAUUGUCCUACGUGCGAUGGGGGAGUUAGCACGUGAUCUAAUUUAUAUUAGAUCGACGGACACACACACAAAAAUCACUAGCAGCCCGAACAGAUUCUACCCGUACUUUGAGGUAAUCCUUAGACCAUAGAUUUUUUUACUGAUUAUACAAGAUCGGCCUAGCCCAAGCUUGACAUGAACUUCCCUUUUUCAUAUUCGUAGGGAUGCAUAGGGGCACUAGAUGGCACUCAUGUUAAGGCUUGUGUUCCUGCUCACAUGAUGGACAAAUUUAGGGGCCGCAAGUCAUAUCCCUCCCAAAAUGUGCUAGCAGUUGUUGACUUCGACCUUCGGUUCACAUAUGUUCUAGCUGGUUGGGAGGGCUCUGCCCAUGAUUCUCUUGUGCUAAAAGAUGCCCUCUCACGUCCAACGUGAGGGAACAAUUGAAGGAUGUAGUGUUUUGAUUUUGAUGAAUUUAUGCAACUUAUUUUAUCAUUGUAAGAUUGUCUGACUUAUUUUAGUAUGUAAGCUUCAAGUGUUGCUGAAGAUGGGUGUUUGUAUGCUGGUCGGGACUAUGCUUCUAGUGCAUUUGUUGAUGGCUCGCUUGCAACUGACCAAACCACUGUCAAUGUGGAUGAUGAUAGUGAUGACAGCGAGGAAGUGAGGGAACUUGAGGCCAAUCUAAUUCCAGUUGACAGUGAUGAAGCUGACUCUGACACUAUUAAUCGUCAUAGUCCUAAAGUUGACUUGGAAGGCAAUUCUUUAAACAAGAAGUGCAAGCACGUGUCAUCUUCACCUUCCAAGAAGCCAACUAAGGGGAAAGCAAACAAGAAGGGCAAGAUAUCUAAUGAUGAUAUGGCAGCCAGUAUCAAGAAGCUAGCUGACUCUCUUGCAUCUCCUAUUGUUUCUGUGCAACCAAUGCCACCUACAGAUCCAUAUGCAAACCUUUGGAAGCGGAUAAAUGCCCUUACCAUACCAGCUAAGGAUAAACUUGAGAUUGUAGCAUAUCUAUCCAAGCCAGAUCAAGAUAUCUUUCGUAGUUACCUCAACUAUGCUGAUGAAACAAUUCUUGGACAGUGGGUCCUUAGCUUCUUCGAGCCUCGGUUUCAAGAAGAUGGUGGCAAUGGUGGAUCUGCAACUGCUCACUGAAUGGCCACAUGACUAGAUAGAGAUUGCGGCUUCCUUUUGUUUACCGCUAGGAGCAUGGGUAACAUACAUCAUGCAUAUUUUGUCUAUAUAGAGAAGGCUGGGUGCAUCAUAUUUUGUUUAUAUGGAGCAGACUUGGUGCUAGUCUGACUAGUAUGACUUACUUGGUCUGGUAAAGACUUGGUUACUAUGUGAAUUUUAUUUAGCCUCCUUGAUGAUUAAUCUGAUGUA